rnacentral:lncRNA from 1 species
CUGACUCCAACCAAAGUGAAUUGCUUCACUUGGUGUUAUGAGAAGAAAUUGCUUAACUCAACAAGUGCUCUAGAGAAAAGGAGUGCAACUACUGCCAGGUGCUUUCUUUGCAAUUCAACAGGGGAAACAAAUAAGCACUUGAUCCUACACUACAAGUUCACUACUCAACUCUGGGAGUUGUUCAUCAACAUCACCAGCUCGUUGGACUACGCUGGAACACACCUCUGAUCUACUGAACUGUUGGACUAAAAAAAAGGUACCAAAACUCAGAAGAGAUGGUGGAAAUUACUACAUUCAUACAUAUGCUGGUUUGUGUGGAAAGAAAGAAAUGGCAGAUGAUUGGAAUAUAUCUCCAAUUCCAUUCACAAAGUAAAAUGGAAUUGUUUAGUAGCUUUACAUUUUUGGUGUAAACAACUUAGUACAGAGGAUGCGGAUCAAACUACAGAUUUAAUAGGGUGUUUGUAAGUCUGUUUUGGUUAUGGUUGUAAUCCCUUUUUGAAGGUGGCCAGCAUCUGCUUAAUGCUAAAGAAUACAAGAACAUACUUAGUGUACUCCCACGGAGUAGGGUCUGGAGAAGAUAGUGUACAGCUACCUCUAGCUCAGAGGUGACGUAGAGAGGUUGUUCUCCGAUAGACCCUCGACUCAAAACAAAAACAGUUUUGAACAUUAAUGUUGAAGAAUACAAUUAACCAGUUAUCAUAAAUUGCAAAUCAAUAAGUGAAGAGAAGCGGAAAAAUGAAAAAAUACUUACAUUUUAAUAUCAAUGCAGCAAGAGAAAAUCAGGAAACUAGUGCAGCACAUACAAAAGAGGAAAUCAAAAUGAAAAGCGGGGAAAGCCAUGUCCCACAAGAAAGCACAAGCGUCACCUGAGGUGUUGCCGACCCUGGCAAAUCAUGAGGAUCACUUUUAAAGAUUUUAGUUCACCUAAAGAAUCAGUUUUAUGAUCCGUUUGGCCACAACAAUUUCACUUCGUUUGAAAAUCACCAGUUGGCCAUAAAAAUUCCAUAUACAAUUUGAAGUUGUAUUUAGAAUUUGAAAAACACACAAACCUAGUUUUCACUUUAUAAAUUUUUUCUUUUCAAAUUUAUGGGGUCCUGAGCUAUAAGCCUUGGCUAAACCUCCUAAUUUUCUUAUUUUUAUAACUAAGCUCAUUUGAAAUAUAUUUCACGUUUUUUAAAAAGUACAUCCAAAAUCCAAAUAACUAUUACAAAAAGUAUGGUCAAACAACUCCAACUCCAACUCUAACCUUGGAAAAUCCAAACAAUUUGGGGAAAGAAUUGAUGGCCAAAUGCCCACUUAGAAACACGAAGUAUGCAAAAAAUAUGAGGAUUAGAAAAAACUUGUGGUUUAAAUGAUAUCCCUGUAGAGGUUUAUAAGUGCCUCAAAGAGACAAUUGUAUAGCUAACCAAGUAUUCAUUGCAAAAUUAAUGUGCAUGAAUGUCAAACAAGUGGUUAGAAUAUUAAGAAUAGAGGAGAUAUUCAAAGAGCUUACUACCAUCUUUUUGAAGCUUUGAGACAUGCGUGGAAACUUAGUGAGAAAAAAGUGAUAAAGAGUAUACGUUAGGAAAUAACAAGGAUAAUAGAAAAGAAAACAAGGUUAAAUCCCAUGCUUGGAAGAUCUAUCGCAGAGACUGAUUUUGUUAAUAAGCUCAUGAAAACUUUUAAUGAGAGAAAUAUUGAUCUCCGCAUAAUGUACAGUCUACAGUGUCAUAAAAAGGGCUCCCGUUGGUGCUUGAAAAGAAAGACUAUAUGAAAAUUACAUAAAUUCCAAAAACGUAUAUACAAAGAGGUGAACAGAAGUGUGACAACACUGGAAGAGUACAUGAGUGCUCGUGAAACCAAAGCACAACCGCUUAACAAAACACAACACAACUCCAGGAAAACCUAAUGGGCAAUCAUUGAGUCCACGGCCCAUAAAACAGGUGAUGGUCGUGGAGUUGGUCGCAGAAAUCUAUAGGUGGAACUUACGUUAAUUGUUUAGAAUUCUAUUUUCUUGGACAAUUAGAAAUAGGUAUAUUGGCUUCACUUGUAAAAGAAGAGGGGAGAAUUGUAGUAGUCAAGAUUUUUUAGUAGUUAGUUGUAGUAGUUCUUUUCAUCCAAAGUUUACAGUUUUUAUAGUUCUUGAAUAUAGGCUUCAACUUUAUCAAGCUUUCAACCUUUUUUGAAUCUUUAUUCUUCUGAUUUCUUUAUUAGUAUGAGUAGCUAAAUUUGGUAUUCAUAUCCUCUACUGAGGUUGUGAAACACAAUGACAUUGUGUAGUUCAUAAGGUUUUCUGGAAAUCACAUACUACCAGGAGGGUUACAUAUCAAACUUCUUUUCGUGCUUAAUUAAACAUUAUAGUGGUUAAUAAUACUAACCUAUAGCAUAAUAUCUUAAUCUACAGACUUGGAAGAGUGGUUAGGAUUUGGUAUAGGAAGAUUUGCAUGAACUCAAGGCGUUAACCUUUGUUUUAUAGAUUCACAUUAGAUAUAAUUGAAUCUACUUAAGCAUAAUCAGUCGUUCUUAUUGUCAAUAAUUCAUAUAAUUGCAGAACCAUCAUAUGUAGAUAAAUUGUUCAUGAACUCGAAAGAGAGUGAGUGCAUAUCUAUAAUGAGUGCAUAUCUAUAACCCCAAGGGCAUGUAUUGCAUGAUUAUCGAAAGGAGAAAAUAAUCCAUUGUUAGGACAAAUUGCAAGCAUACUUACAGACUUUCAGCAUACUUACUUUCUAUUUUAUAACUUAAUUAGCUACAAUCAAUCUCUACAACUGUUACACCGCUAUAAGUUGAGUAAUCAUACUCAUAUAUAAACAUGAAGGAGUUUCCCAAUAUUCCAUGUGGAUUCAACCCUAACCUAGUUGGAUAACUAUAUUGCAUACGACCAUGUUACAUCAAAAGUGAGGUGUAUCGAGAGAGUAUUAGUUCUGUAAUUCGACCCUAACCUAGUUGGAUUACUAUAAUUGCAUACAACCGCAUUAGAUCAAAAGUGAGGUGUACCUUGAGCAUAUCCGUUCAAUAAAAAUAAUAUUUUACUAGGAAAAGAAUGUGUUAAAAAGAAUAAUCUGUUGAAAAAGGGUAUUUUUGACCCAAAAGUAACAAUAGGGGCAUAUUAGGACCAAACCAUCAGCAGGGGCAUUUUUAUUCAAUUUUAGGGCAUUUUGACCCAACUCCGCGUUAAAUCAGUAGUAACACUAGAAACAAAAUACUUUGAACAAACAACGCCAGAGGAAAAUGCAUAAGUGUUCACGUUCACAUCAACUUAACUGAACUAUAUAAUUAACAAAUCCCUUUUUGCUAGUGCCUGAACACACCAACAAGAUAAAUGAAUUAGAGCAUCGUGCAAGAAGCAAGAGCAGGUAUCUAAACUACAAGAGGAAAUCUCAAUCCUCCACUGGAACGUCAUUUGCCAACUUUUUAAUCUUAAGGACUAGAAGCUAGAAUACAAGGCUUUCUCUUAAAAGGAAAAAUUGACUAGAAACAUGCAUAAUAACACUUGACCGAACAAGAAAACUAUAUCUCACAAUGCUAUAAGUUAUCUAAAUCUCUGAGAUUCAUUUAUCCUGCUUAAAGUAAGCAGAAAGCAUCAUGACCAAUUUGGAUAUUAAAAACUCAAAACUUAGCAGGACAGAGAGAAAGAAACAGAAUCAAAUAACAAAGACACAUUCACAAUGGUGUCCAAAUACUCAAAAUUAAUAUGCAGUGCUAAAAAUCAACUAUAUUAAACUUUAAGCCUCUCAUAAUUUAGUUAGAGAAUAAGUAACUUCAUAGACAUAGUGUAAGUGUACCUGGUAAGAUGGCCCAAAGGCAAUCCCAGUGAGCCUGCUUUGGUCUUCCCUUGGCCCAUUCUUCAUCAACUCAUCCUGGUUCACCUCAACAAUAUUCUGUGGAGCGUCACUCCUGCCUCUCUUCCCAGGCAAUCUAAAUACAACUUCAGCCGUAUCAGUAAUUGUUGAUGCUUCUGUUGCACUAGACCCAUCAGUCCAAUUAUGACCAUACUGUUCGUAACUAGUGUAAGCGCCAUAAUUACUGUCACACUCAACAUAAUUCACAUUUGGUGGAGCCGCAGGAGAAUGUUCACUAGCCCCAUCAUUAUCAUAUCCAGCAUACACUUCUUGGUUUACAUAACCCUGUGCAUUCCAAUCAGCAUUAUGUUGUGAGGGACCAUCAAAACCUCCCAUUACACUCUGAAACGACCCAUCAAUCUGCUGGCUCUCACUGUAAUCUGUAUUGGAAUUAACUAGAACUUCAUUCGAACUAACUGGAUCAGGAACAGGGACAUCUGCUUGGAUGGUGGAUCUUCUUCCGGAGCCGGAACCCAAAACACCCAAAGUGUUAGAGUUCUUUGGAGCAGGAAUAGUGGACAAAAAUGAUUUAACUGAAGAUGUUUGAGCAAAAGACCGAGACCUUUUUCUUUGUUUUUCCUUUUCAUCCUCAUCUUCAUCAUCUUCAUCCAGACUAUAAGACUUGAGAGAAAAAGGGUUGACAGGAGGCUUAAAUUGAACAACCCUUUUGGGUUUAGGAUCUGAGGAAUUGAGGAGUGGAGGAUCUUCCAUGGUGGUCUUUGGAGGUGGAAGGACAGAGAAAAGGGAAGAAGAAGAAGAUGUGGUAAUUCCAACAUUAGGUGGGCGCAGUUGUUGAUCAUGGGAAUUUGGUGCGGGAAGUGAAAGGAAAGAAGAAGUUGAUUUUGGGGGAGGAAGCGUUACUUGUUCCUCUUCAUCUGAAGAAGCAUAGUUUGCACACAAAGAUUCCAUAGCAGAACAAGGUAUGAUUGAUAAUAUCUCAACCGGACUCCGCCGCUUUCUAAUUUCUAUCACCUAUUCAUUUUCGUUCUUCCUAUUGUUAGGGUUUCGCUUUUCACCAUCUCACAUCAACUAAAUUAUGAAUUAUCAUUUAGAUCAUUCUUCAAGUUUUGUUUGGUUAUAUCAUUUUGAUUUUUAACUUGUAAAAUCUUCAUAAUUUGUAAAACAAUUACUUCAAUUCUUUAUAUAAUUUUAUUAAAUAAGUAAAAGUUUAUCGUGUAAUAAUGUACUAUUAUAAAACUAUUUUUGAAUUUUUUCUUUUAAAAAAAAGACAAUUAUACACCUAAACAAUAUGCUAAUGUUCUCGAAGUUUCAUGUUCGAAUAAGAAGAUCCUACAUGUGUAGAGCCAAGUCCAAUGAAGAAGGUGUCUUAUAUUAAUGGAAUCCCCAGAAUUAUGUGGACAGAGAAGGAAGUUGGUAGAAUGAACACUACUGAAAACUUACAAUUUGCAGUGGUUGGCAAAUUUUCAUAUAGCUGGCCAGAAUUGAAGGAACUGAGGUUAUUAAUACUUAAAAAAUGCAAUAUCAAAGGAGAAUGCAUGUUAGGGCUAUUAAGGAAUAGACAUGUUUUGAUGAGAUUAGAUUAGCAAACAGAUUUCACCAAUUUGAUAUCAAAGAAAAUUUAUUAUUUAUUAGCCAAGGACGGUUAUUAUUAUGCUAUGAGGUCUUUAAUAUAUGAUGCUAAAUUUAAGGUGAAUGAAGAAACUACUCACGCUAUGGCAUGGAUAUCUUUCGUUGACUUAAAACCCACCUAUUUUGUGAAGAAAAGUAACACUUUUUCUGUUGCAUCUGUGGUUGGUACACCUUUGAAUCUUGGCAUGGUUACAAUUAACAAAACAAGGCCUAGUUGUGCUUUGGUUAAGGUGCAAGUGGAUUUAUUAUUUGAAUUUCCUAAGUUCGAGGAGAAUGUAACAACCAGAAAAUAACAAUGCGAAGUAAGGCCUAAAUAUACCUAGAAUGCCUAGAUUAGACCGGAUUCACACGGCUUGAUGCACAUGGAACCAGACCUCGGAACCCAUGUACUAGCCAAGUCAACCUACUUGGUGAGUUAGUUGAGCUAGGCAAGGUUGAGAACCAACCAUGUAGGGCACCCGAAUUGAAGAGAUUCACCCAGAUGAGUUUUACAGGACUUAAAAGGGGUAAUCUUAGCUUUAGAGGGUCUAGGGGUAAAAUGGUCUUUUCCAAGCUAGGGUUAAUAUUGUAAUUACCCUAUGUAUUUAAUUAAUUAAUUAAAGAAGAGGGGCAAUUCAGGUAGGGUUGGCUGAAUUUGACCCUUUUUUGCAAGUUAAGCUUCACCCGGGUUCGAACCAGUGGAAGCAACGUUUAGGUGGUUUAAAUUGAUGAUUAUAAUCUAAUUUUGUAGGGUCUUGGUUGUCAUUUCGCUUACCCUAGAAAAAAAAUCAGAUUUUAAACAAUUAAGAGAAGUCCUGAUUUAACUAAGUCUCCACCUAAUCUCCUAAUCCUAAGCAAACUCAUUCUCACGUAUCUCUCUACUCUCACCUUAAUUACACUAUCACUCAUCAGUAAAAAGAAGAGAACAGAACAAAAAAAAUAUGAAGUUCAUCAAGAACUUGAACGCGCAAAUUCAAAAGCAAAAAUAAGCUUCAAAACGAAAAGCAAAACCCAAGUUUUCUACGAAUUUUGCUUGUGAUUUCGGUGGUGAACGUCGGCUUAGUGGGGGAUUUUUGCAGCACAUCAGAACAUCUUUGAACGACUUCAUGUAUGGGUUCUCUUCCUUCAUGGUCCCUUUCCCAAGAAACCUCUAAGGUUUAGACUAUUCACAAUCAAAAACUAAGGUUGUCCCCAUUGCAUGCCCCUGUUAUUAGAUCCUUUGAAAGAUUCAAGUAUGUGUUGAUAUGACUUCUGGUAGAAGAUUUUAGGGCUGGUUGUGAUUACGUGUUUUAAUGUAUAUUCGGAAUUAUGUAGAAAUGAAAGAGGUGUUCCGAAAACUUGAAUUUUGUUAAGUUGUUUGUGCAUGUGUGUGUUGUGAACUAGCCACACUUGAAGCUUGAUAUUGACAUGUUAAAAUGUUAUGAAUUAUAUGCGCGAAUAUGUUAAAAUGUGAUGUUCAUAUAAGUUCAAAGUUGCUGAAUUAAAUGAUAAUUUUUGAAUGAAAGUAACCUUGAAGAUGCAGCUAAAGAUCUCCCUAAAAGUUAUUCGAGAUGUCUUAAUAUUUAACGUGAAAAAGGGUGAGAAAAUGGACUGCAAAAAGGUGAUCAAAUUUUCGAAAGUAACCAUGAAAACUCACCUAAAUAUGUAUUAGAUGCUACACGAAAAUUGUCCUAAAUCUAAUAUUUAGAAGUUGAGAAAAUGGACUACAAAAAAGGGUGAACAAAUUUCUAGCAUUCUGGAAAUUUGUUUUCAACAACCAACUGUAAAAAAUGUUGCUUUUAAAAAAAAAAAUUUAAUGCAUGAGGUUAGUGGGGAUUGAACCCAAGACCUCACCAUAUACAAGAUAUAAAAAAAUUAGAUAAUAAAAUGUGGUAAGGGGGAUUCGAAAUGGGGUAAAGCUCAAGUGAUCAUUUAGGAGAAAAAUGAAAGAAUGGGCCUGUGGGGUUCGAACCCACAACCUCUUUGACAUAUGAAGGAGAGAGGAGAAAAAUGUAAUAAAGAAAUAAUAAAAAUGAGGUGUGCGGGAUUCGAACCCACAACCUCUUGCCCGAAUGAGGAAGUUAAGAGAAAUGCAAUUAAAAAUAAGGUGAGACUCUGGGGGUUCAAUCCUACACCCUCUUAGUCUAACGAAGGGAUUAAGUAAAGAAAGAAAAAGAAAAAGAAUGUGGGCGUGGGGAUUCGAUCUUGGGUCCCCCAGGCCGAAAUGUUUAAGGCAAAAAUCAAGAUAAGAAUGAAAGGAAGUGUAGGUAUGGCAAAUUGAUCUCAGGUUCCCUAGCCAAAAGUUUAUUUCAACGAAAAUCAUAAAGAAAAUUUACUAAGUGCUAUACAAUGGAUUUGAAAUAGGGUUCCCUUGCCCAAUUCCGUAUUGACACAUAAGUCUUACGUGAUUAAAUAAUUAAUAAAUGUUGCCCAUAGGAAUCAAAUUGAGACCUUGUCAUACUUACAAGAUGCAUAAGUCUUAUACCACAUAAUCUUGGGCAAUAUAAAUCACUUAAAUAAACUAUGAAUGAAGCCUCAUGGCUUGUGUAUGUGGACUCAUAAGUCCAACAUACAUUUAUAAAGUAAGUGAACCUAAGAUGUUAUGUGAUGAAUGAUGAGACCCUAGAAGGGUUAAGUAAGAGUGUGAAACACGCUUAAAGGCCAAGUGCAUUGACAUAUGAUGCAAUGAACAUUCACGUAAAAAGGGAUGAUAAAUUACGAAGGGCAAGUGUGCUAAGACAAAUGAAUGCGGUGACAACAUGAUAAAAGGCUAAUGUGAAAUAUGAGAGCAAUCCCAAACGAGCCUAAGUAAAUAAUACCAAAACGUACUCACCUAUGAGAGGGUAAAGUUAAUGAAGAGACCAUUCUUUACGAACACUCUAAUGAAAGUAUUAAAGUUAAUGCAUACUUAAUACUAAUAAUGAGAUGAGAAAUCAUCUAAUGAGCAAUGAUUCCCUCAUGCUAGAAGCCAACUUCUAUUAUUUGUGAGAUGAAUGUAGUGAAACUUUAUACUAAGAACUGAUAGGCUAGCUAUAAGUUGCGAUUUCUUCUUUCGGGAAGGCAGAGAUUCAUGUAAUUCUCAUGAGAUGAGAUUGUCCAUUAAGACGGGUAUGGGUCUCCCUAAAUCUUCUAGUCUUUGAACUAUGCUUCCAACAUACGAACUAGCCAGUGGUUUCCACCUAAGCGAGCUAGGUAUGUUCUUAGUUUCACCUUGGCAAGUGACUCCACCUCUUUUCGGUGUGGGGAAGACACCGAAUUUCAUGAUGCUCACAUGAAUAAUGUCAGUUAAAGUUGAAGUUUCUCAAAGUAUGAAAGAUGAUGAAAUUAAUGAUACCAAAGAUAUUUGGAUAAGAUAAUAAAGAGGUGAACUAGACUCAAGUAGUGACACUAGGUCAUUCUUGGUCAUUGCAUAGUAAACCCGAUGAAAGUCUUAAACUACAUCCUAGGUAUAAAUGGUGUUUACACUAGCCAAUGAAUGAAUGAAAGUGAAGUACAUGAGAAUGAGUGAAACAAACUCUAUGUUUCUAAAAGUAGACUCCUAGUUGAGGUCCUGUAUGUUGAGCCCUCAUUUUGGGAAGUCUUAAUGUCAAGUCCAUGAUUCUAAGGUCUCAUGGCAUAUGAAUGAAUGAUAAAAUAUAUUAUAUGCUAUGUGCAAUAUGUUAUGUGCUACAUGCAAUAUGAUAUGUGCGGUGUGCAAAAUAAUAUGUAUGAUUAUGCAUGUUACUCUCAUAACAUGACUUUCCUAAUCAGAUUUGGCAAGUCCACUAACUUGACUUUCCAUAACUCAUAUCGUUAGGAGAGAGCUCUUCUAUAUCAUGCAUGUCCUUGGUGUGUGCUUGCAUAUACCCAUACUUGGUACAAGUGUGUACUAAUCCCAUACAACUCUUUACUUUUAGGUGCAAACAUAGGUGGACACUAGAGUUUACGAGACGAUGUUGAAGCUAUGCGGACGUGGAGCAUUCAUCCGGACUUGGUAGGCCCUCAUGCUUUCAAGUACGCUUGCCCGUUAUAUUCCAACUUAGAUGUAGGCUUGAGCUAGUUGAGUAUGUUCCACUAGUGUUUCUUUUGUAUUUACUUUCCAACAUUGUAUUAGUGCCAUUUUGGAAACUCUAUAGUUAUGAUUAGAUCUUUCAUUUGUAUCUUGAUUUAAAUGGUUGUUGUGAACGCUUAUGACUUAAUGUAGAUAGUAUUAUGCGAGAUCAAUGUUUUCCAAUAUAAGGUUUGAGUUAAGAAAAAUUCAAAUAUUCCGCUAAAAUUAACCUAGAUUAAUUAAUGAUGACGUAUGUAGGCUUGUCUCCGACCUUUGUGGGGUCAACAACGCCGGUCUCGUCUGGGGUCUAGAUUCAGGUCGUGACAAAGGUGGUAUCAUAGCUUUAGGUUAAAUUUCAAGGGUAAUAAGUUCAAAUCAACCACAUUGAGUUUUUUCUAAGUAAUUGUAGUUAAGUGCACCACUAUCCUGAAUUAGAGACUACAUAAUGCUUAGGAAAUUUUCCCUUCUUCUAAUCUUAUCGUGUCUUAUGAAAUCUUGAUUUCUUGGUGUUAAGAGCGCAUCUAAUGUCAACUCUAGCGUUUCAAAAAGAUGAGAGCCCAGAGUUAAGAGAAACAGUGAAGUAGAUACACCUCAAGAGAGGCCACUUUGUAGGAAGUGGGGCAAACUGCAUGGAGGAGAGUGUAUGAUGGGCUCUAACGCUUGUUACAGUUGUGGCAAACCGGGUCAUAUGAUGAAGGAUUGUCCGAAUAAGACAGGUCAAAAAAAAAGGAAGGAGAAAGUUCAGCCUAAUAGUCCAAGUGAAGAGGCUUCAAGAAGGCAACGAUUCUUCGGAAUCAAGUCUAGGGUGCUUGGGAAGGCACUUCUGAUGAUGUCUCGAGGGUGUAGCCUUACUUAGUCGUUCAUCUGUUUGACUAUGUAUGAUUUUAUGCACAAGUAUGAAGUUAAUGUGGUUGAGUCAUCACGUUGGGUGCUGAUUUGUGUGACUUAUGUGUUUACUUUUGUUGUAUGCUUUGAUGAGACUAGUUUAGGAAAGAGUUCCUUAGCCUAUUAAUGUGAAGCUGCUAGUAGGUUUCAAGGAUGUGCACCAUCAUGUUAAUAUGUGAAUUAGAUAUUCUCCUAUGAGGAGUAUUGAAUUGCCUAUGUAUGCAUAUGUUCUAUAUAUAACUUACUUGUUGCUAGUAAAAAGUAGUGUCAUUCAUAGACUAAUGUUCCUAGGGGGGGGGGGAUAAUGUAACAACCCAAAUAUAACUAUGUGAAGUAAGGCCUAAACAUACCUAGAAUGCCUAGAUUAGACCAGGUUCACACGACUUGAUGCGCGUGGAACCAGACCUCAGAACCCAUGUAAUAUCCAAGCCAACAAACUUGGUGAAUUAGAGACUGCAUAAUGCUUAGAAAAUUUUCCCUUCUUCUAAUCUUAUCGUGUCUUAUGAAAUUUUGAUUUCUUGGUGUUAAAAGAGCGUAUCUAACGACAACUGUGGUGUUUCUGAAAGAUGAUAGCCUAGAAUUAAGAGAAACAGUGAAGAAGAUACACCCCAGGAGAGGCCACCUUGUAGGAAGCGGGGCAAACUACAUGGAGGAGUGUGUAUGAUGGGCUCUAACGCUUGUUAUAGUUGUGGCAAACUGGGUCACAUGAUGAAGGAUUGUCCGAAUAGAACAGGUCAAAAAGGGAAGGAGAAAAUUCAGCCUAAUAGUCCAAGUGAAGAGGCUUCAAGGAGGCAACGAUUCUUCGCAGUCAAGUCUAGGGGUGCAGGGGAAGGCACUUCUGAUGAUGUCUCGAGGGCGUAGCCUUAAUUUGUCAUUCAUGUGUUUGACUAUGUAUGGUUUAUGCACUAGUAUGAAGUUAAUGUUGUUGAGUCAUCAUGUUGGGUGCUGAUUUGUGUGACUUAUGUGUUUACUUAUGUUGUAUGCUUUGAUGAGACUAGUUUAGAAAAGAGUUCCUUAGCCUAUUAAUGUGAAGCUGCUAGUAGGUAUCAAGGAUGUGCACCAUCAUGUUGUAUGUUAAACAGAUAUUCACCUAUGAGGAAUAUUGAAUUGCCUAUGUAUGCAUAUGUUUUAUAUAUAACUUACUUGUUGCUAGUAAAAAGUAGUGUCAUUCAGAGACUAAUGUUCCUAAGGGGGGGGGAUAAUGUUACAACCCGAAAGUAACUAUGCGAAGUAAGGCCUACACGUACCUAAAAUGCCUACAUCAGACCGGGUUCACACGACUUGAUGCGCAUGGAACCAGACCUCAGAACACAUGUACUAGCCAAGCCAACCAACUUGGUGAGUUAGUUGAUCUAGGCAAGGUGGGAACCAACCAUUUAGGGCACCCGAAUUGAAGAGAUUCACCCGGAUGAGUUUACCGGACUUAAAAGUGGUAAUUUUAGGUUUGGAGGGUCUAGGGGUAAAAUAGUCUUUUCCAAGCUAGGGUUAGUAUUGUAAUCACCCUAAGUAUUUAUUUAAAGAAAUAAUUAAUUAAUUAAGUUAAUGAGGAGGGGAAAUUCGGUAGGGUUGGCCGAAUUUGACCCUUUUUCGCAAGUUAAGCUUCACCUGGGUUUGAGCCGGUGUAAGCAACAUUUAGGUGGAUUAAAUUGAUGAUUAUAAUCUAAUUUUGUAGGACUUGGUGGUCAUUUCGCUUACCCUUGAAAAAAAUCAGAUUUUUAAACAAUUAAGAGAAGUCCUAAUUUGACUAAGUCUCCACCUAAUCUCCUAAUCCUAAGCAAACUCAUUCUGAUGUAUCUCUGUACUCUCACCUUAAUUACACGAUCCAUCAUCAUUAAAAAAAGAGAGAACAGAACAAAAAAAAUAUAAAGUUCACCAAGAACUUGAACGCUCAAUUUCUAAAGCAAAAAUAAGCUUCAAAACGAAAAGCAAAAACCAAGUUCUCUACGGAUUUUGCUUGUGAUUUCAGUGGUGAAACGUCGGCUUAGUGAGGGAUUUUGGCAGCACAUAAGAAAAUAUUUUAACGACUUCUGGUAUGAGUUUUCUUCCCUCUUGGUCCCUUUCCCAAGAUACCCCUAAGGUUCAGAGUAUUCACAAUCAAAAACUAAGGUUGUCCCCAUUGCAUGCCCCUGUCAUUAGAUCCUUUGAAAGAUUCAAGUAUGCGUUGGUAUGAAUUCUGCUAGAACAUUUUAGGGCUGGUUGUGAUUACAGAUUGAAUGUGUAUCGGAAAUUAUGUAUAAAUGAAAGAGGCAUUCUGAAAAUGUGAGGUUUGUUAACUUGUUAUUGCAUGUGUGUGCCGUGAAUUAGCCACCGUUGAAUCUUGAUAUUGACAUGUUAAAAUGUUAUGAAUUAUGUGUGUGCGAAUAUGUUAAAAGUGAUGUUCAUAUAAGUUCAAAGAUGCUAAAAAAUGAUAAUUCUUGACUGAAACUAACCUUGAAGAUGCACCUAAAGAUCUACCUAAAAACUACUCGAAAUGUCUGAAUGUUUAACGUGAAAGAAGCAGAGAAAAUGGACUGCAAAAAGGUGAUCAAAUUUUAGAAACUAACCAUGAAAACUAACCUAUAGAUGUAUUAGAUGCUACCCUAAGAUUGUCCUAAAUCUAACAUUUAAAAGUUGAGAAAAUGGACUGCAAAAAGGGUAAACAAAUUUCCAGCACUCUGGAAAUUUGUUUUCAACAGCUUACAGUUAAAAAUGUUGCUUUUACAAAUAUUUUUUAAUGCAUGAGGUCAGUGGGGAUUGAACCCAAGACCUCACCAUAUGCAAGUUAUAAAAAAAUUAAAUAAUAAAAUGUGGUACGGGAGAUUCGAAAUGGGGUAAAGCUCAAGUGAAAAGUUAGGACAAAAAUGAAAGAUAAUGAAAUGGUGUGGGGUUCGAACCAACAACCUCUUGGACGGUUGAAGGAGAAAUGAUAAAAAUGUAAUAAAACAAAUAAAAAAAAUGAGGUAUGCGGGAUUCGAACCCACAACCUCUUGGCCGAAGUAGAAAUUAAGGAGAACUGCAAUUAAAAAUAAGGUGAGACUAUGGGGGUUCAUCCCACACCCUCUUAGUCUAAAUGAAGAGAUGAAGUAAAGAAAGAAAAAGAAAAGAAUGUGGGCGCGGGGAUUCGAUCUUGGGUCUCCAAGGGCAAAAUGUUUAAGGCAAAAAUCAAGGAAGAAAGAAAGGAAGUGUAGGUGUGGGGAAUUGAUCUUAGGUUCCCUAGACAAGAAGUUUAUGUGAUGAAUGAUGAGACCCCAUAAGAGUUAAGUAAGAGUGUGAAACAAACUAGAAGGCCAAGUGUAUUGACAUAUGAUGAAAUGUACAUUCACAUAAAAAGGGGUGAGUAAUUAUGAAGGGAAAGUGUGCUAAGACAAAUGAAUGUGGUGACAACAUGAUAAGAGGCUAAUGUGAAAUAUGAGAGCAAUCUCAAAUGAGCCUAAGUAAAUUAUACCAAAACGUACUCACCUAUGACAGGGUAAAGUUAAUGAAGAGACCAGUCUUUAUGAACACUCUAAUGAAAGUAUUAAAGUUAAUGCAUACUUAAUACUAAUGAUGAGAUGAGAAAUCAUCUAAUGAGCACUGAUGCCUUCAUGCUAGAAGCCAGCUUCUAUGAUAUGUGAGAUGAAUGUAAUGGAACUCUAUACUAAGCACCGAUAGGCUAUCUAUGAGUUGCGAUUCCCUCUUUCAGGAAGGCAUAGAUUCUUGUAAUUCUCAUGAGAAGAGAAUGUCCAUCCAGACGGGUAUGGGUCACCCUAAAUAUCCUAGUCUUUGAACUAUGCUGCCAACAUAGGAACUAACCAGUGGUUUCCACAAAAGCGAGCUAGGUAUGUUCUUGGUUUCACCUUGGCCAGUGACUCCACCUCUUUUAGGUGCGGGGAAGACACCGAAUAUCAUGAUGCUCACAUGAUCUAUGUCGGUUAAAGUUGAAGCUCCUCAAAGUAUGAAAGAUAAUGAAAUGAAUGAUAACAAAGGUGUUUGGAUAGGAUAAUAAAGAGGUAAACUAGACUCAAGUUAUGACACUAGGUCAUUCUUGGUCAUUGCACAUUAAACCCGAUGGAAAUCUUAAACUACAUCCUAGGUAUAGCUGGUGUGUACACUAGCCUAUGAAUGAAUGAAAGUGUAGUACGUGAGAAUGAAUGAAGCAGACUCUGUGUUUCCUUAAGUAAACUCCCUAGUUGAGGUCCCAUAUGUUGAGCCCUCAUUUUGCGAAAUCUUAAUGUCAAGUUCAUGAUUCCAAGGUCUCAUGGGAUAUGAAUGAAUGAUAUAAAAUAUGUUAUAUGCUAUGUGCAAUAUGUUAUGUGCUAUAUGCAAUAUGUCAUGUGCAGUGUGCAAAAUGAUAUGUAUGAUUAUGAAUGUUUCUCUCAUAACAUGACUUUCCUAAUCCGAUUUGGCAAGUUCACUGACUUGACUUUCCAUAACUCAUAUCGUCAUGAGAGAGCUCUUUUAAACCAUGCAUGUCCUUGGUGUGUGCUUGAAUAUACCCAUACUUGGUACAAGUGUGUACUAAUCCCACACAACUCUUUACUUUUAGGUGCAAACAUAGGUGGAUGCUAGAGUUUACGAGAUGAUGCUGAAGUUAUGCGGACGUGGAGCAUUCAUCCGGACUUGGUAGGCCGUCAUGCUUUCGAGUACGCUUGCCCG